AUUGAACGCUGGCGGCAGGCCUAACACAUGCAAGUCGAGCGGAGCGGGGGAGGGGGGAGUAAGGGCUAGGAAUGUGCAUGGGAGUGGGGGAUAACGUCAGGAAACGGGAGCUAAUACAGAAUACUAUCAGAUGAGCCUAGGUCGGAUUAGCUAGUUGGUGGGGUAGAGGCAUACCAAGGCGACGAUCCGUAACUGGUCUGAGAGGAUGAGCAGUCACACUGGAACUGAGACACGGUCCAGACUCCUACGGGAGGCAGCAGUGGGGAAUAUUGGACAAUGGGCGCAAGCCUGAUCCAGCCAUGCCGCGUGUGUGAAGAAGGUCUUCGGAUUGUAAAGCACUUUAAGUUGGGAGGCGUUACCAACAGAAUAAGCACCGGCUAACUUCGUGCCAGCAGCCGCGGUAAUUC
rnacentral:rRNA from 1 species